ACACAGGGCUCAAGAAAAAAAUCCAUCAACUAAAUAAAAUACAUGCCAGGAGUGAACAUUUAAUCUGGAAUGGUCGCUGGUAUUUUAGAAAUGCCGUACCUUUCCAGGCUUAUGAACAGGCUGGCGCAAAUGUGUUUGCCAUGUCAACGUACGGAAUGCAUCACACGGUGAAUUUUUCUUCUUCUUUGUUUUGUUUUUUAACGAGCUUAAAUAUUUCAUCUCGUUAUUUAAACCGUGAGAGUGGGAGGUUGGCAGUGGGGUGGGUGGGUGGGGUGUAGAUGAUGAUGAUAGAUGGAGGCCGCAGAAGGCCAGCUCUAUCAAACUCCACCCACAUUGGCUCCGUAUAUGGUCUCUCGCAUCUGACUCCGGGAGGAGCCCGGACGGUAGAGGGCACUUGACAGAGGCAAAACAGAAGCGCUGGCGUGGUACAACGCGAACGCGCCGACCCACGCGUGCUUCGCCCGCUCGCCACACAACCACAGACAACAACCGCCCAGCCCAUCCCUGCGUCUCACAACUCCAAUGCCGUGAUUGAGAACUGGGUGCGCGUCCCACACUCACUGAUCGUAUGCGGCAGAACUAGAGACGUCAGUUUUUUUUCUCUCUCUCUCUCUCUUUAAACCGCGGCCGCGGCGUUUGCGCUCGUAGACCCAAGCGCCAAGGCUCCCCCGUUCAUUCCCACGGGCGGAUUUCGGAGCGUUUACGCUGAAGGGCGCGGCAGGGCAGAUGGGCUCCAGUGAGUCUGCGCUCCUGGAGGGAGGCACCUUGGAGGAGCUGGCCAACGUUCUGGGCAAGCCCACGACUCUCGCGGAGAGCUUGCUCAAUGCCGCGGAGAGUGCCGAGCGCUCCACGGGGGUUCUGUCCAUUUCAGAACUCGGCCAACAACUUCAUCACCAUCAUCAGCAGCAGCAACAACAGCAGCAGCGGCAGGAUGACGAGGAGGAGAGGUGCGUGGGCACGACCAGACGUCCAGGGGGGGACGAUCACGGCGACGCCGUGCAGCAGGUGGUGCAUCUCAUGAAGACGGAGCAGCGAGAGGACGACGAGGACGACGCGGACCGAGAGCAGCAGCAGCAGCACGACGAAUGCGGCGGAGUCCCGAGCUCGUCGUCCAUCAGCACCCCGUCCAACUACAGCAACGCCGCCUCUACCUACACACCCAUGUCCAGCAGCACUCAGCUGGCCACGACCUCCAGCCUGCCGGCAAUGGUGCGGCCGUGGAAGCUGGCGGAAUAUGACCACCACCACCAACAACACCAACAGCAGCAUGCCCUACAUCAACACCUCCUCCAGCAGCAUCAGCAUCACCACCACCACCGUCAGGAGGACGAUCAGGAAGAGACGCAGAGCCAGGAGAACGGGGGCCAGCAGCAGCAGCUGCUCGGGAACCAGGGAUUGUCCGGACAGCAAGACGCGGGUGGUCACGAUGUGCCCCCGGGCGCUUGCUCGGAGAGGCGCUACAAGAGCGAGCCGCUCUCCGUGUUCGUGCCCGCGGCAGGAGGCUACGGACCCCCCCCGGGGCCCGGCUCCGGGGCUGGCUCGGGACCCGGGCCCGAUCCUGGCUCGUUGGGCUCCCCGGACACGUGGUUCCCGCCGCUGAUGGUCAACAGGGAGUCACACUACUCCCUCUUCGCCCCGCAGAGGAGCCGCAUCGCAGAGGAGUUCUACCACCCGCAGGGCGCGCAUCCUUUCCCGGGGCUUGGCCGCAACAGCUACGAAGGGCUCAUGGGGCAGCCCGUUCAGGGUGGCCAUGGCAACCAGAAGAUCUGCGUGAUCUGCUGCGACGAGGCCUCCGGCUGCCACUACGGCGUCAUCACCUGCGGCAGCUGCAAGGUGUUCUUCAAGCGCGCCUCCGAAGGUCAGAACAACUAUCUGUGCGCGGGGCGAAAUGACUGCAUCAUCGACAAGAUCAGAAGAAAGAACUGCCCAGCCUGUCGCCUCCGCAAGUGUUGCCAGGCGGGAAUGGUGCUGGGAGCGCACCGCUCAAAGAGGAUGCGGAUGAAGACGAGUGGCGGGGACGACGCUGCACGGCGCGGCGACGGCGGCGGCGCCGGCUCCUCGACGCAGGCGCUGGUGCAGUGGGACCCGUCGGUGCGCGACGGGCGCCUCACGCCCUCCUCCGUCCCCAGCGGAAGCAACCUUUUCGGCAGCAACGUAUCGGGGCUGUCCUACUCGCCUUCCAUCCUCUCGAUCCUGCAGCUCAUCGAGCCCGAGGUGGUGUACGCCGGGUUCGAUAACAGCCGCCCCAUGACGGCCAACUACCUGCUCACCAGCCUCAACCGGCUAUGCGAGAGGCAGCUGGUGCCCGUCGUCAAGUGGGCCAAGGUGCUGCCCGGGUUUAAGGAGCUGCACAUUGACGACCAGAUGACGCUGAUUCAGUACUCGUGGAUGGGCCUUAUGGCCUUUGCCAUGGGCUGGAGGUCCUACAAGCUCGCCAACGGGCAGAUGCUCUACUUCGCUCCCGACCUCAUCUUCAACGAGCAGCGCAUGCAGCAGUCGGCCAUGUACGAGCUGUGCUUGGGUAUGCAGCAGGUGUUCAAACAGUUUGGCCUCCUGCAGGUGACACAGGAAGAGUUCCUCUGCAUGAAGGCGAUCAUGCUCCUCAACACAGUCCCCCAGGAGGGCCUCAAGACGCAGGCGUUCUUCAACGAGAUGCGCAUGAACUACAUCCGGGAGCUCAACAAGGUGGUCAUCAGCAAGAACAACACGGCCGACGGCUGGAAGAGAUUCUACCAGCUCACCAAGAUGCUCGACUCCAUGCAUGAUCUGGUGGGCGGCAUGCUGCAGUUCUGCUUCCACACCUUCGUGCAGUCGCAGACGCUAUCCGUGGAGUUCCCCGAGAUGAUGUCGGAGAUGAUCAACGCCCAGCUGCCCCGCGUGCUCGCCGGCAUGGCCAAGCCGCUGCUCUUCCACGGCAAGCGAGUGUGACGGCACGUGGGCUGCCCCCGUGGCGUCGUCGUCGUCGUGCCCGACGAGCGUGGCUCCGACUGGGCCGACACGUAACCAGACGCUUGCCCCUUAAGGGCGACCUUGGAAUUGGACCGCCACACACUUUGAGAUUUUUACGCCCGAUUACAAAUGAGAUUUUACGUGGGUGGAGUGUGCGUGUGGCCUGAUUCCUGAACUGGCUUACGGUGGCAGGUCAAGACGCUCAGUGGAUGCCACCGACCCGAAACCCCAUGCAUCACCGCAGCCUCUCUUGAGGCAGUCAUAGGAGCAAGAGGUGUUCCAACUUUGUUUUAUUUUUAUUAUUUUCGUUGCCACACGAGGGAAUUUCUUUUGUAGCACUGCUGUCAUCGGAAUCGUCGCCCGCAUCCCCUGGACCUUUUUGACGUGGGAAGUGUAAAACGGCCGCGGUCGUUUUCUCUUUUGGGCGCUGCGAUGGUCGACGUCAACGCCGGCCGGCGGUGGCGGCGGUGGCGGCGGUGGCGGCGGUGGCGGCGGUGGUGGCGCCGUCUCCAGCGCAUUGCGCUUGCUGCUAAUACCCCACACCGGGGACCCCUUUCCCUGCCCAGUGCCUCGCUCUUAUCAAGCAAGUGUAUAUGGCCGAUGCGGUAUUUUUGUGCGUGCGUGUGUGUGUGUGCACUCUGCCAAUGAAUGUACAGAGCCGAGGUUUAAUCUGCUCUCAUUAGCAUGCAUUUGUAUAAUAAUUGAAAGCAAUCAUAUUACAUCAUUGUUCAUUCGCGACCGUAAAUUAGCACUUAUACAGUAUAUACACGCACAUUAUCCCACAGUACAGUAGUUCAGCUCGUGGACUGUUUAGUACUCUUUAAUGUAUAUUGCCGUGGUACCUUCCGUGCCGUCGGUAUCCUGCGGGCUUUUCCAAACGUUGUAAAUGCGAUCUCCUUCCGAAAGGUAUGGACCAUACACAGGGAGAGACUCUUCUGCUGUGUGUGUGUGUGCGGGCGCCUGUGCGUGUUUUUUUAAAUUCAGUGUUUCAGACGAGUGCAAUUUCCUUAAGGCCCCUUCACGACCCCGAGUGAGAGUCGUGGCAGCUGGGUGUUUCUUUGGAGAAGGUCGAGCACGCGGUCACCGCGCAUUACCUGGUUCCUACCACCCCCGGUGUAACGGACAGAGUGAUCACACUCACAAGGGGGUGACGGGGACGUAGCAGCGAGAUGGCUUCACUUGAAACCGCGUGCGCGCGCGCGCCCACGCACACACAGUCCCCGGAAAAGGUCAUGGGUACAAGAUGUCAAAUCUGCUCGGUGUGGUUUGGAGGGUGAACUCUGUUAUGAACAGUGGUCUGUAGGAUAAAUGCUCCACAGCAGCACAAGCCGACGUAGGCCACUGUGCUGUUUACUUUGCCUCUCAAGGGGCACUCUUGUGCGCUUUGGAAUGAAGACAGCACCUAUGCUGGGACUCAGCCACUGGGGGUCUGUCGCGGAUGGUCGGACACCCCCGACAAUCUCAUUUAUGUCUUAAGAGGCACCCAUAACACGUGUUGGACAAAGUCAUGGUGUUUUUUUGUGUCGUUUUUUCUCCCUUCAGCAAGGUGGCUUAAAUGCCGAGUAGGCUGAUGACAGGAGCCUUCCGAUGCACAGUAGUGCGCACACAGUAGACUUGGUACAAUACUGAGAUCAGUAGCCAGGAGUUUUGUAGAUUCUAGAUAAUGACAGUGCAGUAGAACUGCACUUAUCCACAGCCAUUUUCACCGUGAUUCCAAUUAUCUGCGGCACCAUGCUGCAAUUAAUAACCACCAGAAACAAAUUUGCAUAGAGGACUCCGCAAAUUAAAAAAAUGUGGCUGCGCACCUCAAAAUUUUACCCCCCCUCUCUUGAGUGUGAUUGCAAACAUAAAGUACGUGACUUUACCGAAAGAACCAAGAAGAUGAAUCCCUGCAGUCACGAAAGCUAUAAAUCGAAACAUAAAGUACUUAUAAAGUCACUGUAUAUAAAAAUAAUGAUAAUAAUAAAACAUACAUUUAAAAUGUUUACCCGUGGAAAUCCUCCACCAGUCUUCAAGAGUUAGUUUCAUCCGAAUUCUUGGAUGUUUGGCCAAGUUAACUUUUGAAUGUUUUUAUUUGUGAUGUGUGAUGUGUGGGAGGAAAACUGGAGUGCUCAGAGAGAGUCCAUGCAUACUUGGAGACAACGCUUCGACACUACAAAGAUAAGGCCGAAUCCUACUUGCUGUUCUGCCUUUUAAAGGCAACUUAGUUGCCCAGAGACUGGUGCCUGAAUGUAUUAUUCCUAUAUAGCAGUACCUUUACAACUGCGACACUCAAAGGUUGGCAGGUAUUUGCAGAUACUUGUUUGGGAACUAAGUGGUACUCUGUGCUUGCAAAGGUACGACGUAGUCGCUUAAUUUCCAGAGAUAGGAAUAAUUAUGAAACGAGGAAUGUGUGUAAAGUAGGACUUCGAGAAAAUACGCUUUUGUAUUUUCUGUCUGUGAAUGAGAUUGUCUAUAUAUAUUUUAAAUCUUCUAUGUAAAGCAUUUAUUUUUGGUUAAAAAAAUGGAAAUCGGCAUUUUUUUAGUUUCUGGUAUAAAUCUUAAGUUUUUGCAACUUCUUGUCUUCUGUCAUCUUCAUAAAGCUCUUAAGAAAAUAAUUAAAAAGAUACGUGCGACUUAUUUAAACACGUAUCACGGUGAAGCUUUAUGCAUUUAUUGCCAAAGCAGUACCUUUGUUGGAGGGCAUUUGUGAGCUUCAUUUAAAAAUCUCGGUAUUCUUACCCAUCUGAUUUUUGUUACAACACCUACGGACUAUCACAUCAUAACAGUUCUAUCCGCCAUUCAUAUGGCGCUCUUCGCAAAAGCGUGCCACGUUUGGCGCUAAGAUGUGAUCGUCAUUCAGCGAGCACUUCGACUCGUGUAAAAUCUCCCCCCCGGCUAGCCCACACCAACACUCGCUGCAUGCUCGCCUGCCCUCAUGCUCACGUCGGCCUAACACUGGCUGUCCAACAACUGUCGUGGGGGAAAAAAUCCCCCAUCGCCUCCCUCCCCAGCGCGCACACAUGGAAUGGCUCAAAUCUGCAUGCCGCAUGCUCUGCCGGCCGAGGACGUUCCAAUCGAUGAGGGAGAUUCCAAACUGAGAAUGGGGGGGACGAGAUGUUUGGGCUGUCCGAUAACAGCAUCCGACUUCUAAUCCGCUGCCACCUCUAACCCCGACCCACAACCUCAACGGCGGUUUGCGUUUAACUGUGGUAUACAAGCCGAACCAAGUUUAUGCACCUUUGCGUAAAUUUGAGUCUUGCCCUUCAAGAAAAAAACAAUUCCAAGGCUCUUAACGCAUCGUUUUGAGAUGGAUUUAUUGUGUUCGAUAUGCUUUGGAUGUCUCAGUAGUAGUGUCCUGUGUUUAUUGUUCGCCUUUGUCUCGUGUUUAUUAACGGAGGGGUUAUUUGUGUUGCUAAUAAACAGCAACUUUGUCAAGCUGCUGUUUUGUGCCUGCAUACAGUAAACUAUUUG